UACGUAGGGUGCAAGCGUUGUCCGGAAUUAUUGGGCGUAAAGGGCGCGUAGGCGGCUUGAUGUGUCAAAGGUGAAAUCCCUCGGCUCAACUGAGGAACUGCCUUUGAAACUGUCUGGCUUGAGGCCGGGAGAGGGUAGCGGAAUUCCCAGUGUAGCGGUGAAAUGCGUAGAUACUGGGAGGAACACCGGUGGCGAAGGCGGCUACCUGGACCGGUUCUGACGCUGAUGCGCGAAAGCGUGGGUAGCAAACAGG
rnacentral:rRNA from 1 species